GGAAUGGUAGAAUAGUUCUCCAUCGUGCAAGAGAUUAAGGUGAACGAGAAACCAAGUCACAAAAUUCAUGAAACAGUUGAUCGUCAAAUCCAAACAAGCAAAUACCAAAUAUCUACCUUUACUUCUGGGAGAUUGACGAAACAUUUGUUUUCAAGAGUGCAGCUUUGACUAUUUCCUUGAGGAAAUGUCGGCUGAUAAAGAAACAACACUCCCAAAACUGAUGAGAGACAAAACUCAGGUCCUGCUCCAUCCCAAUUAACCUCAAUGGUCAAAAAGUUAAACAUGUGACUCAUAUUGGAAUGACUUCUCCAUACUUCCCGCAGAACAACUUCUAGCAAAGAAAAGUAACACUUCAGUCCCCUGUACUUCAACAAUUUUUUCAUAUACUACCCCCUCCAUGAUAAUGCAAA
rnacentral:misc_RNA from 1 species